AACAAACGCUGGCGGCGUGCCUAACACAUGCAAGUCGUACGAGAAAGGGUCCUUCGGGACCUGAGUAAAGUGGCGCACGGGUGAGUAACGCGUGGAUAAUCUGCCCUUCAGUUGGGAACAACGCAUCGAAAGGUGGGCUAAUACCGAAUAACACUGUGAGACUUUGCUCGAGCAGUCAAAGAGAGCCUCUGCUUGCAAGCCCUCGCUGAAGGAUGAGUCCGCGUACCAUUCGCUAGUUGGAAGGGUAAUGGCCUACCAAGGCGACGAUGGGUAGCUGGUCUGAGCGGAUGAUCAGCCACACUGGAACUGAGAUACGGACCAGACUCCUACGGGAGGCAGCAGUGAGGAAUCUUGCGAAAUGGGGGAACCCCUGACGCAGCAACGCCGCGUGAGUGAGGAAGGUCUUCGGAUCGUAAAGCUCUGUCAGUUGGGAAGAAAUGCCCGAGGGUUAAUACCCCUCAGGCUUGACGGUACCAACAGAGGAAGCACCGGCUAACUCCGUGCCAGCAGCCGCCGUAA
rnacentral:rRNA from 1 species